rnacentral:rRNA from 1 species
AUUGAACGCUGGCGGCAGGCCUAACACAUGCAAGUCGAACGGUAACAGGAAGCAGCUUGCUGCUUCGCUGACGAGUGGCGGACGGGUGAGUAAUGUCUGGGAAGCUGCCUGAUGGAGGGGGAUAACUACUGGAAACGGUAGCUAAUACCGCAUAAUGUCGCAAGACCAAAGAGGGGGACCUUCGGGCCUCUUGCCAUCGGAUGUGCCCAGAUGGGAUUAGCUUGUUGGUGGGGUAACGGCUCACCAAGGCGACGAUCCCUAGCUGGUCUGAGAGGAUGACCAGCCACACUGGAACUGAGACACGGUCCAGACUCCUACGGGAGGCAGCAGUGGGGAAUAUUGCACAAUGGGCGCAAGCCUGAUGCAGCCAGGCCGCGUGUAUGAAGAAGGCCUUCGGGUUGUAAAGUACUUUCAGCGGGGAGGAAGGGAGUAAAGUUAAUACCUUUGCUCAUUGACGUUACCCGCAGAAGAAGCACCGGCUAACUCCGUG